rnacentral:rRNA from 1 species
GCUGAAACCGGCGUACGGGUGCGUAACGCGUAUACAAUCUGCCUUUCACUGGGGGAUAGCCCGAAGAAAUUUGGAUUAAUACCCCAUAGAAUAAUGGUGUGGCAUCAUAUUAUUAUUAAAGCUACGGUGGUGAAAGAUGAGUAUGCGUUCUAUUAGCUAGUUGGAGAGGUAACGGCUCCCCAAGGCAACGAUAGAUAGGGGUUCUGAGAGGGAUGUCCCCCACACUGGUACUGAGAUACGGACCAGACUCC